UACGUAGGUGGCAAGCGUUGUCCGGAUUUACUGGGCGUAAAGAGCGCGCGAGCGGUCGUUCAAGUCGCGUGUGAAAGCCCCCGGCUCAACUGGGGAGGGUCACGCGAUACUGAUCGACUCGAAGGCAGGAGAGGGUAGUGGAAUUCCCGGUGUAGUGGUGAAAUGCGUAGAUAUCGGGAGGAACACCAGUGGCGAAGGCGACUACCUGGCCUGUUCUUGACGCUGAGGCGCGAAAGCUAGGGGAGCAAACGGG
rnacentral:rRNA from 1 species